UAUCAAGGGAAGACUAGUUAAAUUAACAGCAAGAUCUGUUCAUUCAAUGGGAGACAACUCAUUUUCAUUUUCAAAUUAUUAUCAUAAACCUUGGACUAUUUUUGUUAGUUGUAAAAUCUUUUAUAUAAAUUUUACAAUAUGUGAAUGCUAUACUAUUGGUAUUUGAAGUGAGAAAUCAGAACAAUUCGUAAAGUAAUCUUUGUGUUGACGUAGAAAUUGGUUUGUUAAAAUAAUAUAUUUAUUCAUUUCUUUUUAGGUGCUUUCUGUGGCAUGUUUUCAUGGUGUGGGAAUAAGACUUGGUGGUCUAAUACAGCUAAUAUGUAGAUUAACACCACAGCUUGUCUGUAAGGAUUGAAGCUGGGAAAGGGUCAUUAGAGCUGAAUUUUAUGGAAACUGGCUGCAGCAAUGAUUAUCUGAUAAAACUAAAGAAUGUUAUUCAAAAUUUUUUGAAUUUUUCAAAAAAUGUAAUUUUUUAUAAAAAAAAAAA